UCAUCUUUAGCGCAAAGUCGGAUGCUAGACAGUAAUGAAGAUAUUUCAGAGGAUGAUGAUAGUUCAGAGAAGGUUUCGAAGCCUAUUCUAUGUAAAGAAACAAUCAAAUCUAUCUCUCCUCUUUAUAUGUAAGCAUAUGUCGGAGACUGUCAAUAGUACGGACACUAAACGUCACGCAAGCGCGCCCUCUGGUGGCGUUUCCGGUGAAACAACAUUUUGGCGCGCUUGGCAGAGUAGUGGUGGUCGGCGUGGCGUCCGCGAAGCUCAGUCUUGGUCGAGUCGUCGUGCUGCGCACAUCUCGAUACUGCCUUUCGUUACGUGUAGUGUACCUAGUGUUAUUGCCUAGUGUUGUAGUACUGUUGUAGAUCCAUAUUGUAAAGUGUCUUUUGAAAUUAAAGUGUAAAGGUUCUUCUAACCUAACAGACAGACAUGUGUUGCUGGGGAGUUUGUUCCGCCACUUCUUCUCCCCAAGCCAAAACACAUAGGAAGUGGCGAAGGGCGGGCGUUUUGGGGGCUGUCUUUUGUUCUGACUAAUUUGAAUAAACGUUUGACUUUUGAGUUCGUUUGAAUUUUGAGUUUCUUUGAGUUAUCUCUUUGCUUGAUUACCCUAACUGAUGUCGGACGAUAGUGCCAUCCUUGAUGUUCGCCUCCGACAUCAGAAGUGGGAUGCAAUCCGAAUGCCCACAUGCGUUUCGAAUUCGCCAUGCGAAGAUAAAUUUCUACCCACUAACAAAAAAAAAAAAUGUAACGUCAAUAAUUUGAAAUGGAGUUUGUAGUAGAAGAUUUAUUAAGAAUUUCAGCGAAGGUACAAGUAUGGUAACCACGGUUAUGGUAAUGGUAUCGUUUUCCAUUGUUACAUGUCAAGCUACUUAUUGAAGGUAUGCUAGAAAAUUAACCGAAUUUGUCUUUUUUUUCAUGUUUCAACAAUGACGGUGGUUAUUGUGCAAUAUGGCGUCAAAAUUAUUGCGGAGCAUCCCAGCUGCCUGCCAGGAGCCCAACGUGUCAUCGUGAGGUCGGAGUGUUGGUGCUCGUGCAUCUACGUGGCUUCACGUCCGCGAAAGCCUUGCUGUACUGCGCGCCAUAGCGAUGUGCGCAUCGUCAUGCGCGUUGAGGUGUUGAGUGGAAACCCGGUGAGACCGAUCCAUUUUUGCUUUAUUUUGAGGUUAUUUGUCUUACGACAUUUAUAAACUUGAGAGACAGUUUCAGUCUCGUUGAUUGCGCUACCACUGCGCUUAUUAAUUGGUGGAAUCGUAGAUAAUCAGAAACCUAGGUUCACAGAUAACAUCUAAGGUGAACCGAGCCUGGAGAACAGGACGAGGUCCACUAGUCAAGCGGCGCGCGAGGUGCGCUGCAGUUGCUGUUUGGAGCGUCAUCCUCCCCCGGAUUUGUUGUGGAGGCCGUAUGAGUUGCGGCAGGCCAGGACAUCGCAUGUCAUCGCACAAGGUGAAAGCAUUCUAUUGCAUUGAAAAUGUUUAGAUUGAUCAGACAAACUUGACAAUGACUAGCCUGUGUGGCAGCUAGGAGCCUGUGUGGCAGCUAGGAGCCUGUGUGGCAGCUAGGAGCCUGUGUGGCAGCUAGGAGCCUGUGUGGCAGCUAGGAGCCUGUGUGGCAGCUAGGAGCCUGUGUGGCAGCUAGGAGCCUGUGUGGCAGCUAGGAGCCUGUGUGGCAGUUAGGAGCCUGUGUGGCAGUUAGGAGCCUGUGUGGCAGUUAGGAGCCUGUGUGGCAGUUGGUAGCCUGUGUGGCAGUUGGUAGCCUGUGUGGCAGUUGGUAGCCUGUGUGGCAGUUGGUAGCCUGUGUGGCAGUUGGUAGCCUGUGUGGCAGUUGGUAGCCUGUGUGGCAAUUGGUAGCCUGUGUGGCAGUUGAUAGCCUGUGUGGCAGUUGGUAGCCUGUGUGGCAUUCAAGUGUGAGCGAUAUUAAUAAGCCUGUGUGGCGUAAUUAUGACCCUAUGUGGUUCUGUGGUUCAGAUGGAUCUGUGUGACUUUUGUUCAGUGUGCUACAUAGUGGUCAGGAGUGGCCGAGGUUGUACUGUGCAUACUGUGCUGUGUUUGUGUUGUUGCAGAUUAACCCACGAGGACGUGGGUCUACGCAGGAUGGCCGUGUCGGAGACUGUCAAUAGUACGGACACUAAACGUCACGCAAGCGCGCCCUCUGGUGGCGUUUCCGGUGAAACAACAUUUUGGCGCGCUUGGCAGAGUAGUGGUGGUCGGCGUGGCGUCCGCGAAGCUCAGUCUUGGUCGAGUCGUCGUGCUGCGCACAUCUCGAUACUGCCUUUCGUUACGUGUAGUGUACCUAGUGUUAUUGCCUAGUGUUGUAGUACUGUUGUAGAUCCAUAUUGUAAAGUGUCUUUUGAAAUUAAAGUGUAAAGGUUCUUCUAACCUAACAGACAGACAUGUGUUGCUGGGGAGUUUGUUCCGCCACUUCUUCUCCCCAAGCCAAAACACAUAGGAAGUGGCGAAGGGCGGGCGUUUUGGGGGCUGUCUUUUGUUCUGACUAAUUUGAAUAAACGUUUGACUUUUGAGUUCGUUUGAA